rnacentral:rRNA from 1 species
UACAGAGGGUGCGAGCGUUAAUCGGAAUUACUGGGCGUAAAGCGUGCGCAGGCGGUUCGCCGUGUCCGAUGUGAAAGCCCCGGGCUUAACCUGGGAAUGGCAUUGGAAACUGGCGGGCUUGAGUGUGGCAGAGGGGGGUGGAAUUCCACGUGUAGCAGUGAAAUGCGUAGAGAUGUGGAGGAACACCGAUGGCGAAGGCAGCCCCCUGGGCCAACACUGACGCUCAGGCACGAAAGCGUGGGGAGCAAACAGG